rnacentral:rRNA from 1 species
UGCAUUUUCCAUGCGGAGGAAAAGAAACUAACAAGGAUUCCCCUAGUAACUGCGAGUGAAGCGGGAAAAGCUCAAAUUUAAAAUCUGGCGGCUUUGGUCGUCCGAGUUGUAUUCUAGAGAAGUGUUUUCCGCGUUGGACCGUGUAUAAGUCUCUUGGAAUAGAGCGUCAUAGAGGGUGAGAAUCCCGUCUUUGACACGGACUACCAAUGCUUUGUGAUACACUCUCAAAGAGUCGAGUUGUUUGGGAAUGCAGCUCAAAAUGGGUGGUAAAUUCCAUCUAAAGCUAAAUAUUGGCGAGAGACCGAUAGCGAACAAGUACCGUGAGGGAAAGAUGAAAAGCACUUUGGAAAGAGAGUUAAACAGUACGUGAAAUUGCUGAAAGGGAAACGCUUGAAGUCAGUCGCGUUAGCUAGAACUCAACCAGGCUUGCUUGGCGUAUUUUCUAGUUAACGGGCCAGCAUCAGUUUUGACCGCAGGAAAAGGGCCAGGGAAAUGUGGCAUCUUCGGAUGUGUUAUAGUCUCUGGUCGUAUACUGUGAUUGGGACUGAGGACCGCAGCACGCGCAAGCUGUGCUUAGGAUGCUGGCGUAAUGGCUUUAAACGACCCGUCUUGG